AGAGAGGCGCCCGGACGGAACCGCUGCCGCCGAGCCAGCAGGUGAUCCUGCCCGGUGUGGCGGAGGGCGACACUACAACCCCGCGUUUGUUUCUGUGGGGCAGCCCCGCAGCCGGUGCUGCCAGGUUGGCUACAGAACACUCAAAAAUUGCAAAGAGAAAUAUUGUGUUCUGGAAAUUCGUCCGAGCAUUUUUUUCCAAUAUCGUCCUUAUGCUCUUCUGAUCCUCUCUUGAACUGUUGGACUAAAACAGCUGACGCUUCCACCAGCAACCAGAGUCAUCCUGUCCACCACUGUGGGAACAGAGGGUGUCCAUUUGGAACUGAAGACUGAGCCUAAAGUCUGGUGGCCCUUUGGUGCCAGGAUAGCAGAAAUGAUUCUACCAAUGCCAGCGGCAUGCACCAGAAACCAGGAAGGAAUCAUACAGCUGAGCCAACCUGCUGUACUUUAAAACACUUGACCACAAUUCUCCAGUGGAUACUCAACUCUGGCUUCAAACUCCCUUGUCUCUCCGG